rnacentral:rRNA from 1 species
GUGGGGAAUUUUGGACAAUGGGCGAAAGCCUGAUCCAGCCAUGCCGCGUGUGUGAAGAAGGUCUUCGGAUUGUAAAGCACUUUAAGUUGGGAGGAAGGGCAGUAAGUUAAUACCUUGCUGUUUUGACGUUACCGACAGAAUAAGCACCGGCUAACUUCGUGCCAGCAGCCGCGGUAAUACGAAGGGUGCAAGCGUUAAUCGGAAUUACUGGGCGUAAAGUGCGCGUAGGUGGUUUUGUAAGUUGGAGGUGAAAUCCCCGGGCUCAACCUGGGAACUGCUUUCAAAACUGCUGAGCUAGAGUACGGUAGAGGGUGGUGGAAUUUCCUGUGUAGCGGUGAAAUGCGUAGAUAUAGGAAGGAACACCAGUGGCGAAGGCGACCACCUGGACUGAUACUGACACUGAGGUGCGAAAGCGUGGGGAGCAAACAGGAUUAGAUACCCCAGUAGUCC